GUACACACCGCCCGUCGCUCCUACCGAUUGAAUGAAAAGGUGAAAAGAAGGGAAAUAAGGGUAGCAAUACCUUGAAAUAACGUCUUUGAACCAUUUCAUUAGAGGAAGGAGAAGUCGUAACAAGGUUUUCGUAGGUGACCUGCAGAAGGAUCA
rnacentral:rRNA from 1 species